UUACUAAUAGGUUAUUUAAACUAAUAGAUUGUGGUUCUAUUGAAUACUUUGUAUAAAUACAGUAUUAGUAAA
rnacentral:tRNA from 1 species